UCCUGUUGCAAUAGAUAUGAAGAGAGGUGGUCCUCUCUUCAUAUUACAUCCUUCAGAAAGAAAUUAUUACAUCCUUCAAAAAUACUCUGGAUACCCAUGGAACCUAUGAGGAAAUAUGAACUUUAGAGAGACCAAUCACAAUGGGGCAAUUGUAGGGUAGUAACCAAUCAGUUUGCAUGAACUAUAGGGUGACCAAUCACAAUGGGGGAUUUCUAGCGUAACCAAUUAGCUUUCACCCUGAAAUCAGCUUGCCUGGAGAUAGGGUGUAAUGCUCGGUAAAGCACCACACUUCUUGUGGUGUCCGGUGCGCUCUCGACGGCCCUUAAAAAUUCGGGGAAGACAUUGAUUUUCGUGUCCGGUCGUACUCAUAACCGCAGCAGGUCUCCAAGGUGAGCAGCCUCUGGUUGAUAGAACAAUGUAGGUAAGGGAAGUCGGCAAAAUAGAUCCGUAACUUCGGGAAGAGGAUUGGCUCUAAGGGUUGGGUCGUCGGCUAAGACUUGAAGCCAGUGGACCCGGCCCGGACUGGCCGAGGCCCAUCCGGGUCGAAGCUGGACCCGGGAAGGGGCUGUUGGUGGAUUGGCCCACCUAUGGUCGCGAGGCCAAUUCGGCAGGCAAUGAACAACCAACUUAGAACUGGCAG
rnacentral:ncRNA from 1 species